UACGUAGAAGACUAGUGUUAUUCAUCUUUAGUAGGUUUAAAGGGUACGUAGACGGUAAAUUUAAUCUUUUAGAUAUGUUUAUACUAGAGUUAUAUAUGAGGAGGGGAGUAUUUAUGGAGUAGAGUUGAAAUUUGUUGAUACCAUAACGACUGGUAACGGCGAAAGCAACCUUUUAUGUAAUAACUGACGUUGAGGGACGAAGGCUCGGGU
rnacentral:rRNA from 1 species